GGUAGGAUGGCUGAGAUAUAAGUGAUAAACUGUAAAUUUAUUUAGGAGAUUUUUCUCUUCUACCA
rnacentral:tRNA from 1 species